rnacentral:rRNA from 1 species
GAUGAACGCUGGCGGCGUGCCUAAUACAUGCAAGUCGAGCGAACUGAUUAGAAGCUUGCUUCUAUGACGUUAGCGGCGGACGGGUGAGUAACACGUGGGCAACCUGCCUGUAAGACUGGGAUAACUUCGGGAAACCGAAGCUAAUACCGGAUAGGAUCUUCUCCUUCAUGGGAGAUGAUUUAAAGAUGGUUUCGGCUAUCACUUACAUAUGGGCCCGCGGUGCAUUAGCUAGUUGGUGAGGUAACGGCUCACCAAGGCAACGAUGCAUAGCCGACCUGAGAGGGUGAUCGGCCACACUGGGACUGAGACACGGCCCAGACUCCUACGGGAGGCAGCAGUAGGGAAUCUUCCGAAAGGGACGAAAGUCUGACGGAGCAACGCCGCGUGAGUGAUGAAGGCUUUCGGGUCGUAAAACUCUGUUGUUAGGGAAGAACAGGUACGAGAGUAACUGCUCGUACCUUGACGGUACCUAACCAGAAAGCCACGGCUAACUACGUGCCAGCCGCCGCCGUAAUAC